UUUGACCGUCUUGGUUUUCUAAACUUCUCACUUUUUGAUAAUGACAAAAGGGGGAGUAGGUUUACGCAUUAAUUGAUAAGUUACAAAAGCUGAAACAACAAUUUAUUGCUUAAGUUAAAAGUUAAUUUUUAGAUGUUGCGUAUUUUCAAUGUGGAGACUAAGUUAGUUGAAACUGAACUAAAUUUCAUAAGUAAGGAUAAGUUAAGAGUGCAAUUUUAACUUAGACUUAUGAGACUCAGGGGGAGAGCUUGCAAACCUCUCACUCUGAAGAAAGAUAUGAAAUUUAUCUCAUUUCAGACCAUCUUAAUCUUAUACUAAAUUAAAAAAUCAUGGAUAAAACAUAAAGUUCAGACUUUAUGGAAUAUCAAUCUUAGGGGGAGCUUG
rnacentral:lncRNA from 1 species